rnacentral:rRNA from 1 species
UAGGGAAUCUUCGGCAAUGGGGGCAACCCUGACCGAGCAACGCCGCGUGAGUGAAGAAGGUUUUCGGAUCGUAAAGCUCUGUUGUAAGAGAAGAACGUGUGUGAGAGUGGAAAGUUCACACAGUGACGGUAACUUACCAGAAACGGGACGGCUAACUACGUGCCAG